GGUCUGUUUAGGGGGGGAGGCCUUCUAUUACCUCUUCUCUCUUCUCUUGCUCUUGGUCUUUUAGUAUACUAGUAUAAUAAAAAAAAUAUAUAUUUAUAUAUUUGUUAAUGUAUAAGUUAGGGACUAUUCAAAAAUAAUUAAUUUUUAAUUAAUUUUUGGUUUGGAUGCAUGAUAAUUAAUUUUUAUUAAAAAAAAAAGAGAUCGGCAACCAAGUUCAUCCGUGCCCCAAGUUUUCGUCCAUCCGUCCUCCGACCGUCACCCUCCACCGACGGCCGUCCGGCAAGUCUCCACCCCCGAGCACUAAACGUCAGCUGCCCCAGUGUCGCAGCAAUGGCUUGGAUUGUCUUGGAUUUUUUGGGAAUUUUGAAGCUCCCAUUCGAGGUAAUUUUCGAGAUGACGGCUUUGGGAAUUUUUAUCUUUGCUUCGGGGGGUUCUUAUGAAUCUUCUUUUGCCUGAAAAAAGUUCUCUUUGUCGUUGAAUGUGUGGUCAGAACCCCUCCUUUUUUAUUGCAUUCUACUAGGAAAUUUGAAUUUGAUUGGAAAGGACAUCUCCAUGAACGGUGUGAAGGGAAAGAUCGGAUUUUGAUGUUAAUUUUUGGUUUGGUUUUAUUUUUAUCAGGAUUCAACAAACCUCAACUUCUAUUCCUGUUAAAUUCCCAACAUUGGAGUAUUAUCCGUUGAAAUUUAUAGUUCUUAUGAUCUAUUUUAUUGUACUCCUUUCAUAGUGUUGAAACUUCGGUUAAUUUAGCUGCAGGAACUAAUUUGAGGAGUUUCCUGGUUCGGAAGUAUGUUUUUUUGGGAUCAUAAUAGUCAUUCAUCUUCUAUGUAAAUUUUUUAUAUGAUUUUCUGAAGUUCUAUCGAUGUAGGUAUAAUUUGAUUACUAUUUACUCAAUUCAAUAGUGCAGCGCUCAUCGAUCCUGAUUCUGUACUUGAUGUGAUGCUCAAAUAUCUCAUUGGAUAUGGAAUAUCUUCUGGAGUGAAAGGAUCAAUUGCAUCACAUAUCACAAGUUUUUUGGAACCUUUUGAUUUUGAAAUAUCUAAUUCUGUGAAUAUCAUUGUGAAUCUGCAGUGAACAUAGGAAAACUUAAAAAAUCAGAGGGAGGAUUUGCCCAUAUCAUCACUGCAAUUUUGAACUCUAACACAAGAGUCUGAGAAGGAAAUCAUCCAGAGGUCAAGGACAGCUCCUCAUAGGAACUUAAUGCAGUUAUAGAUGGAACUAGCACAGAGAUUGGAUUUGAUAUCUCCAUGGCUAGGUUUCAAGGGUUUGGUGAAAGGAAUGUUACUACUAGCAGAGCUUCAGUUUCCACAGUUGCAUGGCUUACUCUUGCAAUGGUUUGGCUGCUGGACUGAUGUUGGCUGCAAGCUUUGACCUAGUGCAAGAAGGACAGAUCUGACAGUGGAAACUGGAUUGUCAUUUGGGAACUAAGAAGUCUCUUGAACAAUAUGGGGAAGAAUGUUAGACAUAAAAGGUGCUGAUGCAACUAAAGGUAUACUUGUCAUUGGAAUAAUGAACCUUCACCUUUUUAAGGAUGGUUCAGGUGUUAGGGUAUCCUUUGCUGGUUCAAAAGGGCUUUCUCAAGGUCUUCUGGUUACUUUAGCAAUACCCAUGCACAAUAUACCUGAAGGUUUAGCUCUCAGCAUGGUUCUAGCUUAGCGAGGGGUCUCUCCUCACAAUGCGAUGUUGUGAACUUUCAUUAAAUCAUUGCCCCAGGACUUCUCCCAUUGAGGUGCUAUGGAGAUGGAUGCCAAAAGACUGAGAUGUGAUUUCAUUUUAUUUGGCGAUCAUAUUUAUGCAUGCAGCAAGCUUUUUGUGAAUUUGGUGGGACUGCUGCAUGACCUCUGUCUGACAAGCUGGAGACUUUCCAAUUUCAAGCCAAGCGAUGCUAUUCUUUCUUCCUUUCUGGAGAAUAUGGUGGGAGGGCAACCAUCUGAGUCGAACUUAGGAGCUAGACCGAGGAGUGGGGCACCAACCAGCUGAUAUUAGCUGGCUGAUCUAUUUUUUUGUCGAUGCAAUACUUGAUACUUGACUGCAUUGCCAUGGUGUGAGAUGGUGGUCAGACCCUUCUGGUUUUUUAAUAUCAUCCUGCUGUGCAAAUGGGGUUGGUGGAAAUGACUCCUGGUCAAUUUUUUGAUUUUUGUUACCUUGUUUGAUGAUUGGGUAAUUUUUUGAGCUCUUUCCUUCUUUUUUUUCUGAGAAGAAACCUCUUGCUUGUUUGAUAUGGCUUGGUUUGUCUCAUGCAAAGUUGUUGGUUUUUUUUUUUCACUCUUUGAUGGAAUCUUCAGAAGUUCUUU